CAGGUUGGUGGGAGGACAUACGGGCUGCCUGAAACAUUAAACAGGCAUGUGGGAGGACAUGCGGGCUGCCUGAAACAUUAAACAGGUUGGUGGGAGGACGUACGGGCUGCCUGAAACAUUAAACAGUUUGGUGGGAGGACAUACGGGCUG